AGUGAACGCUGGCGGCAGGCCUAACACAUGCAAGUCGAACGAACUCUUCGGAGUUAGUUGCGGUUGGGGGAGGAACACGUGGGAACGUGCCUUUAUGCUCGGAAUAAUUCAGUGACACUUGUGCUAACAUCGAAUGUGCUCUUCGGGUGCAAGAUACAUCGUCUUUGUAGCGGCCCGAGUUUUUCUAGCUGGUUGGGGAUGUAAAGGCGGAUCACGGCGACGAUCAGUAGCUGGUCUGAGAGGAUGGGCAGCCACAUUGGGACUAGGACACGGCCCAAACUCCUACGGGAGGCAGGCGAGGGGGAUCUUGCGAUAUCGGGGGGAGGCUGAAGGAGCCAUGCUGCGUGAAUGAUGAAGUUCGUAAAAAAGUAAAAUUCUUUCACCGGGGACGAUAAUGACGGUACCCGAAGAAGAAGCCCCGGCUAACUUCGUG
rnacentral:rRNA from 1 species